UUUCCAAGUUGAAGCGUGGGACCAAUUUCGACAACACAAUCCGGAAUGGUCAACAUGGCGGCGGCUGUAAGAUGCCUCGGUAGAGUCCUGAUACAUCAGCAAAGGCAUAGUCUUUCCAAGGUGGCUUCUCAGACAUCUCUUUAUCCUUGUUCUGUGUACGUUCUGGUGCCCAACAGACAUUUUGCUGCUGCUACAAGGCCUGCAAAGAAAACAAAAAAAGGUGCCAAAGAAAAAGCAUCGGAUGAGAAAAAAGAUGAGAUAGAAAAAAUAAAGUCAUAUCCCUUUAUGGAAGGUGAACCUGAAGAUGAUGUCUACCUAAAACGCUUAUAUCCAAGGCAGAUAUACGAGGUGGAGAAAGCUAUUCACUUACUUAAGAAAUUUCAAGUUCUGGACUUUACUAAUCCAAAGCAAGGUGUCUAUCUUGAUUUGACACUGGAUAUGACACUGGGGAAGAAGAAAAAAGUGGAGCCGUUUGCCAGUGUUCUUAGUUUGCCAUACCCAUUUGUUUCAGAGACCAGUAAAGUUGCUGUAUUUACAGGGAAUGCAUCAGAGAUAAAAAUAGCAGAAGAAAAUGGAGCUGCAUUUGCAGGAGGAACUAAUCUGAUUCAGAAGAUUUUGGAUGAUGAAAUUCAACCAGACUUUUAUGUAGCUGUUCCAGAAAUAAUGCCGGAGCUUAAUCCAUUAAGGAAGAAACUGAAAAACAGAUUUCCUAAGCUUACUCGAAAUUCCAUUGGCCGAGACAUCCCCAAAAUGCUUGAAUUAUUUAAAACUGGACAUGAAAUUAAGGUAGAUGAAGAAAGGGAGAACUUUCUGGAGACCAAAAUAGGAACACUGGAUAUGUCAAGUGACCAGAUAGCUGCCAAUCUGCAAGCAGUUAUCAGUGAAGUUUGUAGGCAAAGACCGCUGAAUUUGGGACCCUUUGUGGUACGUGCUUUCCUUCGAAGUUCAACAAGUGAAGAGAAUGAGAGACAGAGAAACAGAGGGAACAUGUACGCACAUGAUGUUAUAUAAAGGCAAUAAGUGUACCAAGGAAGACAAAGAAAUGAAUUUUGAUGGAAAAAUUCUGAGAAGUUUGCUGCAGCUUCAUAGGUCAAAGAUGAAAACUAUGAUUUCUAAAUCUAAGUAGACGAACUUCAAGCAGGAUAAUUGAAAGGAAAACCAUUCUAAGGCAUAUCAUAUUCAAUUUGUUGAGAACCAGUGGUAACAUAAAACUCAAAAGCAGCCAGAGAGAAAAAGAAACAUUAAAUACAGGGGUACCAAGAUAAGAAUUACUGAUUUCUUGUCAGAAAUAAUGCAAGCCAAAUAGGGAAUGGAAUGAUAACUUUAACAUGCUUAAAAAAAAGUUAAUGUAGGGCUUCCCUGGUGGCGCAGUGGUUGAGAGUCCGCCUGCCGAUGCAGGGGACAUGGGUUCGUGCCCUGGUCCGGGAAGAUCCCACAUGCCGCGGAGCGGCUAGGCCUGUGAGCCAUGACCACUGAGCCUGCGCGUCUGGAGCCUGUGCUCCGCAACAGGAGAGGCCAGAACAGUGAGAGGCCCAUGUACCGCCAAAAAAAAAAAAAAAAGUUAAUGUAGAAUUCUAUGUCAAGUGAAAAUAUCCUUCAAAAAUGAGAGAAGCAUAAAGACUUUUUUGACAAAUAAAACACAGAAAAUUUAUUUCCAGCAGACCUGAAUUACAAGAAGUGUUAAAGGAAGUCCUUCUAGAGGAAGAAAACUGAUACCAGUAUAAACCCAGUUCUAUACAAAUGAAUGAAGAAUGCCAGAAAUGGAAAAUUUGUGGGAAACUAUGAAAAAUGCUUUUCUGAUUUUUAUCCUUUCUUUUAAAAAAAUUACCUUUUAAAAGCAAAUGUAAUAACAG